GAUGAACGCUAGCGGGAGGCUUAACACAUGCAAGUCGAGGGGCAGCACGGGGUAGCAAUACUCUGGUGGCGACCGGCGCACGGGUGAGUAACGCGUAUGCAACCUGCCUUGUACUGGGGGAUAGCCCGGAGAAAUUCGGAUUAAUACCCCAUAACGAUAUAGAAUGGCAUCAUUUUAUAUUUAAAGAUUCAUCGGUACAGGAUGGGCAUGCGUAACAUUAGCUAGUUGGUAGGGUAACGGCCUACCAAGGCAACGAUGUUUAGGGGUCCUGAGAGGGUGAUCCCCCACACUGGUACUGAGACACGGACCAGACUCCUACGGGAGGCAGCAGUGAGGAAUAUUGGUCAAUGGGCGCAAGCCUGAACCAGCCAUCCCGCGUGCAGGAAGACGGCGCUAUGCGUUGUAAACUGCUUUUCCAGGGGAAGAAAACUUCCGUCGUGACGGGACUUGCCGGUACCCUGGGAAUAAGCAUCGGCUAACUCCGUGCCAGCAGCCGCAGUAAAAC
rnacentral:rRNA from 1 species